ACGCUCGACACCUACGGGAGGCGGCAGUGGGGAAUAUUGCACAAUGGGGGAAACCCGUGAUGCAGCGACGCCGCGUGGAGGAAGAAGGUCUUCGGAUUGUAAACUCCUGUUGUUGGGGAAAAAGAGGAUGGUACCCAACAAGGAAGUGACGGCUAACUACGUGCCAGCAGCCGCCGGUAAUCUGAGCGGGCUGGCAAGGC
rnacentral:rRNA from 1 species